GAGGUCUCCUGAAAACUUUGAACCAGAAAUCUACGAUCAUGAGGGCAAUGGAGCAUACAGGUUCCAGUGCCCCAGUGCAGGUCUGUUCCAGUGCAGUAUAACAGGCCUGGUGUUUAGGAUGGAGGGAGAGGGAGAGGUGCUCUAUAGGACAGUCCCCUGGAACAGGAGGCUUCUAGCCCAGAGAGGCAAGAGACCUGCAGGACCCCUGUUCAACAUCGACUGCCCUCAGAAGUCUGUCUGCCAACUACACCUCCCACACUGUCAGAUUCAUUCUGAGGGUGGAUGUGACUUCCUGUCUGUAGCCCAUGUGACUGAUGAUGACAAAGUGGAGUUUAUCCAUCCUCUUGAGAUAAC